rnacentral:tRNA from 1 species
UGUUCCGUAGUGUAGUGGUUAUCACGUUCGCUUUGCAUGCGAAAGGUCUCCGGUUCGAUCCUGGACGGAACCA